AUACCUUUCUCGGCCUUUUGGCUAAGAUCAAGUGUAGUAUCUGUUCUUAUCAGUUUAAUAUCUGAUAUGUGGGCCAUUGGUCCACACGAUAUUAAAUUACUUUUUUGAAGGGGAGAGUCCAUCACAGUAGCUUGCUAUUGGGUCUCUCAGGUGUCGCCCUUGUGUUGCACUAUUGCAUGGGCCUGGCACACCCUAC
rfam:Cajanus cajan chromosome 11, whole genome shotgun sequence.